rnacentral:rRNA from 1 species
UCGCCUGUUUAUCAAAAACAUCGCCUCUUGACGCAACAUAGGAGGUCCAGCCUGCCCAGUGACAGAGUUCAACGGCUACGGUACCCUGACCGUACGAAGGUAGCAUAAUCACUUGUUCCUUAAAUGGGGACUUGUAUCAACGGCAUCACGAGGGCUGCACUGUCUCCUUUCUUCAAUCAGUGAAACUGAUCCCCCCGUGAAGAAGCGGGGAUGAAAUUAUAAGACGAGAAGACCCCAUGGAGCUUUAAAUAAUACAGCCACACUAUAUCAAAAUAUCCUCUUACUAAAAGUCCUGACUGUAAAUUUUAGGUUGGGGAGACCGCGGAGAACAACUAAACCUCCACGACAGACGGCCUAAGCCCUUAUCCACGAAUAACACUUCUAAGAAUCAGUACUCUGAUGUUAUUGACCCGAUAUUAUUCGACUGACGAACCAAGUUACCCUGGGGAUAACAGCGCAAUCUACUUUGAGAGCCCAUAU